GAUGAACGCUGGCGGCGUGCCUAAUACAUGCAAGUCGAGCGAACAGACGAGGAGCUUGCUCCUCUGACGUUAGCGGCGGACGGGUGAGUAACACGUGGAUAACCUACCUAUAAGACUGGGAUAACUUCGGGAAACCGGAGCUAAUACCGGAUAAUAUAUUGAACCGCAUGGUUCAAUAGUGAAAGACGGUUUUGCUGUCACUUAUAGAUGGAUCCGCGCCGCAUUAGCUAGUUGGUAAGGUAACGGCUUACCAAGGCAACGAUGCGUAGCCGACCUGAGAGGGGGAGCGGCCACACGGGAACUGAAACACGGCCCAGCCCCCGGCGGGAGGAACAAGUAGGAAAUCUUCCGCAAGGGGCGAAAGCCUGACGGAGCAACGCGGCGUGAGUGAGGAAGGUCUUGGAAUCGUAAAACUCUUUUAUUGGGGAAAAAAAAAUGUGAAAGUAACUAUGCACUUUUGGACGGUACCUAAUCAGAAAGCCACGGCUAACUACGUG
rnacentral:rRNA from 1 species